AUGACCAAAGGCAUAAUCAGAAUCACAGCCCUAUAUCAGCGCUCUGGACCCACACAUCCUCUUGCUCACCCAGUGAUGUUUACCAGGAGGCAUCUUGCCAGAAAGGAAAUCAGCUGUGGGGGCUGUACGUUCCAGGAGCCAGCCCAUCAAGAAGGCAUUUUUCGUUCAGAGCCCAUGUGUGUUGGGUGCCCCCCAGGUAGAUCAAGGCCGGAAUAUGGAGGGCUUGGAAUGUUCUGCCCAGGAGAGUCCAGAAUCACGUGGCACAAAAGGUCUCCACCAUGAUGAGCAUAAGACAAGAUGCCAGCAAAAGGAAACAAUACUGGCAGCCUUAGUAGAAAGAGCAUGGACUGGGGUUUCAGGAGAACCGGGAGCCAGUCCUAGCUCUGCCGCUAACCAUCUGCAUGACUUUGGGCAAGUCACUUAAAUUUUCCAGCCUUUUCUCCUCACCGGUAUGGUGAGUUGGGUUAUCAAAAUCACUAAGGGUCCUCUCAAAUUAUAUAAACUUUUAAAAAGGGAGGAUUUCCCAACAGGAGGAAGUUUUGACACCAUUGAACACUGGGACAGAUUGUGGAAUUUCUUUCCUUAAAGAUGUGGAAGAAGCAAGUGGUUUAGGAUCCCACGUAGAUGAGCAAUUUAACAUGUAUGUUUGUCAGGUCCUCUAUUAUGAACGUAUUACACUAUCUCAUUUCAUCCUCAUGCAAACCCAUGAAAUAGACAACGUUAUCAUUCAAAUUUUACCAAGAAAGAAACUGAGGCUCAGAGGAGUUAAAUAACUUGUCCAGAGCCUACAAAUAAUAAGCGCCAGUAGUAGGUUUUAAACGUGGGCAGUCUGGCACCACAGCAGCACUCGCUAGCACUACAUUGCACCACCUUGUGCUUAGGGGCAGCUCUGAGUCCUCUCCCAAGAGCCCAUCGUGAUCCAUGGUGUCUCUGGAGGGACCCGUUUGCAGCUUCUCAGACACGUGCAAAAGGCAGGUGCUUGGCUAGUGUGAGAAACCAAACUCUUUUGGCUCUCUCUUAGCUCUGUGCCCUACGUUUUGACAUUCAGGGGUAAGAAGCAUUUGUUUGGCAAUUAAUAAUGCACUGCCUUGUGACAUCUCUUGUUUGGAUGUCUUUAUUGUUUUUCAGUUUCUAUGUGCUUAUGAUUUUUCUCCUUCCUUAAUAUUGAUUGUAUAUUGAUCAUAUGUCAGGCACUGUUCUACAUGCUUUAAAUGUGUUAUUUCACUUAACACUCACAAUAACACUUCAGGAUGGAUACUAUUAUUAUUCCCAGUUUACAGUUGAGAAAACUAAGGUACAGAGGGAAAGAUAUUAUUAUACUGCCCAUAGGCCAAUGACAUUGACAGCAUAUACUAGGCCUUCAAUAAAUAUUUGCAAAUGGAUUGAUUGAGUCAAGGGUCAUGUACUUCAAGGAUUCCCUUUGCCCAGAUCCUUCCAUAGUCUUCUAUUUAUUCUCUGCUUACUCCAGUUUUUACUAUGUUUCCUUUACAGACUGUGUCUAAGAUGCCAAUUGAAGACUGGAACAGCCAUUUGAAUGUGGGGUAUUCCUGGAAACCUGUUCUAGUAGGCACUGGAGAAGCCACAGGAGCCUGUCAAUAUAAAAUAGACACACUUUGUGCUCAAUAAUAAUUCACUAAUUGACGAAUAUAUUGAUGGAGUGUUGGUUUGCUUCACAAUCUGCUGGUAAAAACAUACUCAUUUUUGGAUGAAUUUCAGGUCUUAUAGGUAAAAUUUGUUUUAGCUUUUUCCAUUUUGUUUCAAUCCCCUAACUUUUGGCUUUCUUUGCCACUUAGAAGCAGAAAUGGGAGAAGUAAA
ensembl:lncRNA